GGGGGCGAAAUGGUUUCGACGGGUGGGUGGAAACUGUUCUGGCAUGCCGGGGGUCCGUGCCCCGAUAGUAAACGGAAAAACAAAUAAGUGCGAACAGCACCAAUUAUGCUCUGGCUGCUUAAUCCAGAGCCGUUCUUUCAGAAUCUCUUCCGUCGGUUCUGAAAAGAACGCCGGUCAGACGGGAUAGUUUUCAGGUAAGAUUCCAGACCUGAAAGCGAAAAUUUUAGUGGAAUCUUUUUUCCGGACAGUUGCCGGCUUACUGUUCGGAAAGAAAACCAAUGAGCCAGUGCUAAGCAUGUAGAAGGAACAGUGGAAAGCAUCCGGACCCGGGUUCGAUUCCCGGCGCCUCCACAA
rnacentral:tmRNA from 1 species